rnacentral:rRNA from 1 species
CCUACGGGUGUCAGCAGUGGGGAAUAUUGCACAAUGGGGGAAACCCUGAUGCAGCGACGCCGCGUGAGUGAAGAAGUACUUCGUUAUGUAAAGCUCUAUCAGCAGGGAAGAAAAUGACGGUACCUGAGUACUCAGCCCCGGCUACCUCCGUGCCAGCAGCCGCGGUCAUACGUAGGGGGCAAGCGUUAUCCGGAUUUACUGGGUGUAACGGGAGCGUAGACGGCAGUGCAAGUCUGGAGUGAAAGGCGGGGGCUCAACCCCCGGACUGCUCUGGAAACUGUACGGCUGGAGUGCAGGAGAGGGAAGUGGAAUUCCUAGUGUAGCGGGGAAAUGCGUAGAUAUUAGGAGGAACACCAGUGGCGAAGGCGGAUGACUGGACUGUAACUGACGUUGAGGCUCGAAAGCGUGGGGAGCAAACAGGAUUAGAUACCCGUGUAGUC